rnacentral:rRNA from 1 species
CUCUUUAGAGUCGGGUUGCUUGAGAGUGCAGCCCUAAGUGGGUGGUAAACUCCAUCUAAGGCUAAAUAUAACCACGAGACCGAUAGCGAACAAGUACCGUGAGGGAAAGUUGAAAAGAACUUUGAAGAGAGAGUUCAAUAGUACGUGAAACCGUUUAGGGGUAAACCUGAGAAACCCGAAAGAUUGAACGAGAAGAUUCAGCGUAUAUCAUCUUUGGUCAUAGAUGGUUUGUGUGACGAAAUUUUGACUUGUCUUAAUUUUGCACCGGCCGUUUAUGUUUAUCAUUGGUGAAUGUGUGCACUUCUUCUCUAGUAAAACGUCGCGAUCCGUUGAAUAUUGAUCUAAGAGUUUCACUGCAGCAGCCUGUUCAGUAUAUAUACUUCUAGUAUGUUUAUUGUUCAAGCUUGAAAUUUCUGAUCAAUAAAUUCGACGGUAUUGAUAAUUUAUAUAAUAGUUAGUCGCUUAUAAAGCGCUUGAUUUUAUAACAAGCAUGUUCGUGUUUGGUUGACUAUCGGAUUUAAUGCCGAUACCAGCCCCGAAUUGUUGUUAGUUAUAAUAAUCUUGAACAGACAUAUAAAAUCUGCGACGCUAAAGUUUUGGGUAAUUUCAGGACC